rnacentral:snRNA from 2 species
AUCUUUGCGCUUGGGGCAAUGACGCAGCUAGUGAGGUUCUAACCGAGGCGCGUCUAUUGCUGGUUGAAAACUUUUUCCAAACCCCCUCUUAGGCUUGGGUUCAGCCUUGUCCUUCGAGAAUUUCUGGAAGUGCUUCCUUUGGGGUAGAGCU